UAUAAAUAAAAGUUACGAUUGCUGGUUUACUUUUUCUAAUUUGUUUCAGGUAUAGUCACGAGAAAAGCAAGUAUUUUUCCACCCUUUCUUGACUCAAGACGGUAAGACAAAGAGUUGAUUCUUUUUGUUUAGCUCGUUAUUGACUUGUUCGCAACGUUUUAUCUCGAUUCACUUGUGCUUCCCAUCUGGAGUGAAAAGGAAUGAUUAAAGUUUAUACUAUUGGUACUCGACGCCUGUCGAGCUUCAGUUUUAAGCAGAAAGUUUGUAAAACGGUUUUUUAUAUUUAAAGAAGAAAGAAAGAGCAAGGAAGGAUUUAACGUGUAGGUGAAUUAAUUAAGGAAGUUUCCUGAAAGGUUACUCUUGACACUAUUUAAAGAAAAGUUAUUACUCGUAAACAAUAUAAAAAAGUUUAAUAACUUCAUACUAAUAAACAAUCACCAAGGAGAGUUAGGAUAACUUAUUAAAAAGUUUACUAUCAAGCAAAAUCUUAUUCUUUUUAAAUAUUCACUGGUUAAACUUCGACUCGGUGUUUCUUGUGCUCGGCAUUGAUCUAAUGGGAAAGAGAGGUUCUUAUUAAGUUGGAGAUCGUGUUAAUCCAACUUCGGUAAGCUUAACUAUUUUAUUGACUGACUUUUUAUCAACCAUUCUGGUAACUGACCGUCUCGACAAUUCCCCGAUUUCGGGGUUCUACGGCAUACUGGCCGCCUACUCCGCUUGCCUUUAACAACUCACGCCGGAAAGGACACUAGUUAUGAUCCUGCAAAAUCUGUUUGUGUUGCAGAGUAAAUUUAUAAAACCAACACAGUCUAUAUUUCAAUUUAUUUCCUUAUUAAAACAAUUUUCUCUUCUCUGCCUCAUAAUCGCUGUAGUGCUUUCGGCUACCAGACUUUUGCCCUCUUUCGCCCCAGUACUACUCUUCUGCAGUACACAAAUAUGGCGUGGAUACAUCUGCGGUUUUCCCACGCUGCACGUGACCCCUCCGAGAGUUGCUUAGACCAUGUUCUACGGUUCUACCGAGACAAAAUAAAUUAUCAAGGCUCCCCGCUAGAAAGGCCGCCGCUACGUG